ensembl:lncRNA
CAGGGUUCAAUUACUGAUUUAUUAUUAUUAAUACAUCUAACCCCCAAAAUGGAAUAUGAUGUUUGUAUUUUCCUAACAUUGACCCGUGGGGUCAUUUAUAACAGAACAUUGGCUAGAUUUUGCAUGGAUAGAUUUUACAUGGUAUUCACCAUAUAUAACUCCUAUGCCUCCAGUCAUCAUCAGUGGUCCAGGAGGGGCUCUUUUCUCCAGUAUCAUCUACAUCUGUUUAUUGAUUAAUUCACUAUUAUUUAAAUAACUUCCCUGGUAGCCCAGUGGUUAAGACUCCAUGCUCCCAAUGCAGGGGGUCCGGGUUUGAUCCCUGGUCAGGGAACUAGAUACCGCAUGCCACAACUAAGAGCUCACAUGCUGCAACUAAAGACCCUGCAUGCUGCAAAUAAAGAUCCUGAAUGCUGCAACUAAGACCUGGCAUAGCCAAAUAAAUAAAUAAAUAUUUUAAAAUAAAUAACAUAAGUCACAUAAAUAAAUCAUGAGUAAGACCCUUAAAUAUCCCUAACAUCUAUCUAAACCAUCAUCUCCCCUGACACUCAACUCUCUCAUUAACUGAACUCAGUGUUUCAUAUAUGGAUUCAUGAUCAUAUUCCUUGACUUUGGCAAGUUUGGACUUCUACUAUAUUUUUUAACAAUACAGUAAGUGUCUUUUUAAGAAUACGGCUCAAAUCCAAGACACGAACACUGACUACUACUCACAUUGUUCUCCAUCCUCCUAACACAGAUGCAACCAUAGGGCUCCUGACCAUGCAAGAUGCUUAGAUCAGCUCAAGGGCAUCCAUUCUGAGGAGCACAGGGCAGAGCACAUGAUAAAAAAUUGAGAACUAAUCUCCACUGAUCCUUGUUUCUGCAUUUCAUUUUUCAGUGGUUUAGACAAUCGUUAAUUUGGAGUAUAUUUAUUUCAAUUUCUCUUAAGAAAAUGAACCUAAAACUUGAUGCUGACCAAGAAAAUGAGCAGUGAUUAUUACUACAAUUGUCCAUCUUUCUCUUAGUCAAAGAUUUUUCAUGUACCAUUUAUUCCUCUUUGGACUUCACUGUUUUCAAAUUUACUAAUAUUGUUUCUUCUAUCACCACAUAUGUUUAUAAUUGGACAAUAUUUCACUGCCUUCAUCUUUAUUUAUUUAUAUGCUUAUUUAUUGCUUAUUUGAUUAACCCAAUUAUAAAAUAUAAAGAAAAUGCACACACAUAAAGACCAAAAACAAGUCCCUUGUAUAUAUAUUAGACAAGUGUCUCUAGAAUCAACUCAAAUAGGACAAUGGACUAGAUUCCAUUUGCAUCGGACAUCAGACUGCCAGUCAUCGUACACAACUCAUACGCCACCAGUAGUCAUCAUCGAUCCAAUAUUGUUCCUCUUUUUCUUCACUCAUUUCUACAUGGUUUAUUGACUAAUUCAGAAAAUCAAUCAUAAUAAUUUAAAAGUUUAUUCACAAAACCCAAGAAGAGUCAUGAUAUCCUUAUUCUGUAAAUAAUUCAUUCUCACAGCAGAGUAUCUUUCUUAAAAAUAAUGGUGCCAUUUUUCAUCUAAGCAGUAUUCAAUAUAUGUCACUGAGCUACAGUUGGCCUUCUUCUAUCCUGUAUGGAACUUUCAAAUAAAACUGAAUAAAUGCACAGGAAAAAAAAAAUCACUGAAACCAAGACAAGAAAUUUGACUAUUACUCACAUUGGUCUCUGUGCUUCUAACACAGAGAUGCAAUCAUUAAGGUGCAUGACCAUGGAAUCAUGGUUAAUCAGUUCGAACGUGUCCAUUUUCAGAAGU